CACGUAGGGUGCGAGCGUUGUCCGGAAUUAUUGGGCGUAAAGAGCUCGUAGGCGGUGUGUCGCGUCGGCCGUGAAAACCUGUGGCUUAACCAUGGGCUUGCGGUCGAUACGGGCAUCACUGGAGUUCGGCAGGGGAGACUGGAAUUCCUGGUGUAGCGGUGAAAUGCGCAGAUAUCAGGAGGAACACCGGUGGCGAAGGCGGAUCUCUGGGCCUUACCUGACGCUCAGGUGCGAAAGCUAGGGGAGCGAACAGG
rnacentral:rRNA from 1 species